AACAACACCACAGUGACAAAGCAAGGACAUGGCUGUGAAACAACAGAGGAUAACUACAUCCGAUUUGUGGACAUGGUCGAUAUAAAAGCACAUUUCAAAGCAAUUUUGUACAUCUUAAGGAUGUUGACUAUGAUUAUUUUUUGUUGUAGACAUAUCAGGGUCAUAUAUCAGGAAGAUUGCUCGCACUAAAAUGAUAAGAAUUCAUAGUUUUGCUAGUUGCUAUUUCAAACAAAAUACCAAAAAA